CCCCCCCCCACUCCUGAUACCAGUGUUCCCAGCCUUUCAAAGGCUUAAACAGGUGUUAGAAAGGGAUUAGAACUCCUAAUCAACCUCAAAUCAAGUCUCAAACCGUUGGAUCAAGAUCGAGAUCAACUCAUGCCGUUGGAUCGCGCUCCGGUCCACAGAAUAGUAUCGUGGAUCGUGAGAAAUAGCUGGAAAACGCAUAUGCGGUCCACAUGCUGGGCCGUGGACCACCCAGUCCAUGGUGGACCGAG
rnacentral:lncRNA from 1 species